rnacentral:piRNA from 1 species
ACGCAUGAUGGGUGCAAUGGUGAACCGUGU